GCUGAUCAAUUGGCUGACUCACUUACGAAGCCUCUAGCUCGUAAGCUGUUUGCAUUACAUCAGUCCAAGAUUGGCCUCCUUGAUAGGAGCACCAUCUUGCGGGGGCAUGAUAAGUAGAUGAGAUUUCCCUAACUGUUGAGGAAAUCUCUCUACUCUGUUGAGGAAAAUCCUCUAACCCGUUGAGGAAACUUCUCCUUCUAACCUGUAUAUAAAGACGGAGGAUAUGUCAAUAACAUUCAACUUCUUCUUCAACAACUCAUUUAUCUCUUUAUUUUAACAA
rnacentral:lncRNA from 1 species